rnacentral:rRNA from 1 species
AGUGAACGCUGGCGGUAGGCCUAACACAUGCAAGUCGAACGGCAGCACAGUAAGAGCUUGCUCUUACGGGUGGCGAGUGGCGGACGGGUGAGGAAUACAUCGGAAUCUACUUUUUCGUGGGGGAUAACGUAGGGAAACUUACGCUAAUACCGCAUACGACCUACGGGGGAAAGCAGGGGAUCUUCGGACCUUGCGCGAUUGAAUGAGCCGAUGUCGGAUUAGCUAGUUGGCGGGGUAAAGGCCCACCAAGGCGACGAUCCGUAGCUGGUCUGAGAGGAUGAUCAGCCACACUGGAACUGAGACACGGUCCAGACUCCUACGGGAGGCAGCAGUGGGGAAUAUUGGACAAUGGGCGCAAGCCUGAUCCAGCCAUACCGCGUGGGUGAAGAAGGCCUUCGGGUUGUAAAGCCCUUUUGUUGGGAAAGAAAAGCAGCAGGUUAAUACCCCGCUGUUCUGACGGUACCAAAAGAAUAAGCACCGGCUAACUUCGUG